ACGGCGAGUGAAGCGGCAAAAGCUCAAAUUUGAAAUCUGGUACCUUCGGUGCCCGAGUUGUAAUUUGGAGAGGGCAACUUUGGGGCCGUUCCUUGUCUAUGUUCCUUGGAACAGGACGUCAUAGAGGGUGAGAAUCCCGUGUGGCGAGGAGUGCGGUUCUUUGUAAAGUGCCUUCGAAGAGUCGAGUUGUUUGGGAAUGCAGCUCUAAGUGGGUGGUAAAUUCCAUCUAAAGCUAAAUAUUGGCGAGAGACCGAUAGCGAACAAGUACAGUGAUGGAAAGAUGAAAAGAACUUUGAAAAGAGAGUGAAAAAGUACGUGAAAUUGUUGAAAGGGAAGGGCAUUUGAUCAGACAUGGUGUUUUGUGCCCUCUGCUCCUUGUGGGUAGGGGAAUCUCGCAUUUCACUGGGCCAGCAUCAGUUUUGGUGGCAGGAUAAAUCCAUAGGAAUGUAGCUUGCCUCGGUAAGUAUUAUAGCCUGUGGGAAUACUGCCAGCUGGGACUGAGGACUGCGACGUAAGUCAAGGAUGCUGGCAUAAUGGUUAUAUGCCGCCCGUCUUGAAAC
rnacentral:rRNA from 1 species